GGGGAUGUUUAUGGUAUUCGAUGAGUAAAUGUCUGGAUAGGACCACAGCCACGAAGGACACGUGUAAAAACCACUUAAAAUUAAUUGCUAAAACUAAACUUGCUAAUGUUUUUGGUGUAAACCAGAGCAUGGCUUUCGCUGCCUAAUUUAAUUGCCUACGUUUGGCUUGCAGCCCCAAUAGUCUAGGUUCGCUUUCUUAUUAGCUAUUGCAGGACACAUAAAGAAGAUAAGAUGAAGUAGCGGUCCGAUACUUCAUACGAAAAUUUUAGGAUCACAUCUUAAGAUCUUUGUUCUUAUCCAAAGCUUAGGAUUAUUUUGAUAAGAAAAGCUGUAAACGUUGUAUCGUGGGACUUUGCUUAGACAGGAGUUCGACUCUCCUCAUCUCCACCA
rnacentral:tmRNA from 1 species